ACCCGUCUAGCUCAGUCGGUAGAGCGCUGGCCUUUUAAGCCAGUGGUCGUGGGUUCGGGCCCGACGGGGGGUG
rfam:Phytophthora infestans T30-4 supercont1.10 genomic scaffold, whole genome shotgun sequence.